rnacentral:rRNA from 1 species
UACGUAGGGGGCUAGCGUUGCUCGGAAUCACUGGGCGUAAAGCGCACGUAGGCGGACUCUUAAGUCGGUGGUGAAAUCCUGGAGCUCAACUCCAGAACUGCGUUCGAUACUGAGAGUCUCGAGUCCGAGAGAGGUGAGUGGAACUGCGAGUGUAGAGGUGAAAUUCGAAGAUAUUGGGAAGAACACCAGUGGCGAAGGCGGCUCGCUGGACCGAGACUGACGCUGAGGCGCGAAAGCGUGGGGAGCAAACAGG